rnacentral:rRNA from 1 species
AUACGUAGGGGGCGAGCGUUGUCCGGAAUGAUUGGGCGUAAAGGGCGCGUAGGCGGCCUGUUAAGUCUGGAGUGAAAGUCCUGUUUUCAAGAUGGGAAUUGCUUUGGAUACUGAUGGGCUUGAGUGCAGGAGAGGUUAUCGGAAUUCCCGGUGUAGCGGUGAAAUGCGUAGAGAUCGGGAGGAACACCAGUGGCGAAGGCGGGUAACUGGACUGCAACUGACGCUGAGGCGCGAAAGUGUGGGGAGCAAACAGGAUUAGAUACCCUGGUAGUCCACACGGUAAACGAUGAAUGCUAGGUGUAAGAGGUAUCGACCCCUUUUGUGCCGGAGUUAACACAAUAAGCAUUCCGCCUGGGGAGUACGGCCGCAAGGUUGAAACUUAAAGGAAUUGACGGGG